UGACUGAGAAUUCUUUGGUUCUAAUUGAAUGGUUGGGAAUAAAUUAUAAAAUGUACAUUCACUGAGAUGAUGCGGUACGAAGGUUCGGCCAAGGUGCGGUCAACCAAACGAAUAAAACACCACAAGGUGGGGGAUAACGGUGUACGCCCAUUGAGUUUUUUUCCACAAUACAGUCCGAUGGCAUUUUACUAUGUACACCUACAUUUAUAUAUAGUGAGAUGUAAAGAACGAAUCUAGUCAGACGACCGCGGACUGCUAACCUGAAGACACGUCCGUACCGAUUUUUUCUGUACUUACAAUUAUACUUGUAUUUAACAUCUAGUACGUUCACGAAUGCAUAUUUUCUAUAUUUUACCAAGUAAACCAAUAAUAACGUUAACAUUUUCUUCUACAACUGGAAUUCGAUCAGCAUCUACAGCCCGUCACAUAUUCUGUAGACAACGUCGGCUGUAAUUUUGUAAAAUAUGGAAGAAAAAACAAUAUAUCUCCACCCAAAAAAGACCAUAAUAUAAUGAAACGACCCGGAAACAAGACACUGGUAAAGUACCUCAGCAAGUUAGACAAAAACAAGCAAUUCGAUUUUUUAAAAAAAACAAUAUGAUGGAUUACUCAUUGCUCGACCUAUCAUACAAUGAGUACGGACGACGUACUACGAGUGUUUCGACGCGAUGGAAGGCGAUCGUUCGGGGACACAGCGAAUGAUUAAUCAGGUGGUAGGCGAACAAGUAGUAGUCAAACUGAAAUUAAUCGACGUGAAAAAGGCACUCGACAAUAAUCCUCCGAAGGAAAAAAGUCCAGAGAUCGAACACCUGAUGGAAAAAAUUUGCGGGCCGCCUUCUUCGCCCGCCCCGGCCACGCCAAGUCGAACGACCGUGGCCGAUUUGUUGCGCAGUCCGGACCAGGACAACAACGCGGACUCGUCACAGCCGUUGAACGUGCUAGAAAAACAAAUGUCGGACACGUUGCAAGUGGAAAACGUUGCCGGCGAUCGGUCGACGGCGACGGUGAUCGUGCCGGCUGUCGCGGUGUCGUCGAGCAACGCUGAUACGACGAUAACAGCAGGUAAGAGUGUAUCGCCGGACCGGCGCCCUCCAUCGACCGCGGACGCGAAUCAAAAUGCCGUACCGCCGUGCAUAAUACGCGCGUAUUCCAUUCCGGUGGACGAUCUGAGCGAAAAGAAUAAUUUGCCCGCCGUCACCGAAACAACCGCGGACGGUGAGUUCUGUAAACUGGUCGAUGCUUAUUCAAUCAAGCCCCGUCAGAACCGUCUGAAACGCAAAGAUGAUCGGCCGGCGUCGAAAAAAGAUACGCGUAAGAAUCGGCCGUCGUCGUCGGGCGAGGCUAAGAAAGAGGCGAUAAAACGAAAACGAUUGAAAUAUAAACAAAAACAAAGAUACUAUCGCAAAAAAAUGGCUACCAAAAAUAACGGUGGUGUCGAAUGUGUUGUUGUUUCAGAUAAGAAGGCCAACGACAAGACCGAAUCUUCGACGGUCGCCUCUGACGCGGUGGCGGGCGGCACGACGCCGACCGAGCCGCCGGUCGCGGCGUCUAACGACCAACCACCCGCCGAAGACGAACCGAGCGAGGAAAAACCGUUCGAUCAGAUGCCGCCUCUGCUGAGGUUGAACUUGCCGACCUAUCCGAAGAUCAUCGAUUUGUCGAUGACCAGCAGUGACGAAGACGACGACGACGACGACAUGGAUCGACCACUCAUCAUGGAUACCGGUUCGAUGUUUGACGUUAUCGCGAGUCAGAGGUCUGGCCGAACCGAUAAGACCGCCGCCGCCGCCGCCGCUGCUGCUGACAAAAGCGACGACAGCGAAGCGAUGGAAAUAGACUUGUCUCCGCGCUCGGACCACGGUCAGUCGCGUCGCCCGUCUCCGCCCGUCACGGCAUUCCCGACGCCGGCCGUCCAAGCCAAGUCCGCCGUCGCCUCCGCUACCGUCAUUCGCGCCAAACCGUUGUGCUGUCCCUCGUCUUCCGCCGACCAACGCGUGCAACCGUCGGUUCAUUUUCCCAAUACCGUUUUUGCCGAACCGUCGUCGGUGCCGACCGCGUCCGGCGGCAACGCCCGAAGACAUGCGACCGCGCUGCCGCCACCGCCGCCGAUAAUCACUAUGCUCAAAAACACCGUCGAAGAAAUGACGCCCACGCCGUUCAAUAUUUAUCAGAGGCCAUCGUCGGUUAUGCAGCCUCCGCCACCGCCACCGCCGUCAGUGCCGCUGCCGCCGCCGUCGUCGUCGUCGAUGGUACUGGUCAAAGACAAGAUCGAAGACAAGACGACCGCGGUGCGGGAAAAGAUCAAAAAGAUAGUCUACGAGAGCUACAGGGUGUACGGGCGCAAUCCCAUCAUAGACAUGUUGGUCCGUCGGUUGAGGACGGGCGACCUAAUGCACAACAUGCACGCCAAGUGGAACACCGGCGAUGCGGAAGAGGUCAGGGAGCUGCUGGUGCGGUUGAUCUGCAGCCUCUCCGGUAGCCACUGUAACAUCGUGCCGCUGAUGGGCUGCCUGAUGACCACGUUCCGCAGAACCGUCGAUACGACCGAACUGACGGACAUAGGCACGUACAGGGAGUUCCUGGUGUUCAGCGAGGUGGUCAAGGUGUGCGUGAAAAGCCGGGACAAGCAAUUCUUCAAGACUUGGUUGUUGCCGGACAGUUUCAAGUACGGCUGCUUUAUCGUGGACGACGUGUUGUACGGCGGCUUGUCCCGCGUAAAGUCGUUGCACCACCUCGUCAAUUGGACGAAGAUAUCGCUCAUCAGGAAAUACUUCCGGAUGCCGUCGUACCGGGUGGUCGGUCUUCACGCGGCCGCCAACGGCUCAAACAGCGAGCUCAGGAAGAAACUAAGCACCGUCCUGGACGAGGGGCCCGCGUCGAAAAUGGCAAAAGUAGGUCAGCCUUUGGUGACGACCAACCAAGAAGUCGGUCAACCCAUUAUGACAAACAACCAAAUGGAACAGUAUUACAUGGCCGCCAACCAAAUGGGUCAGCCACCGGCGUUGUACAACCGACCUGCCAUAAGCGUGCGACCUCAGUUUAACGUUACCAAUUUCUCCACGUUCCAACCAAACCACCAACGGCUACCGCCACCGCCUCAGUACAGCGAGUCCACUCUGAAGCAACGCCUGACCGGCCCGCCGAUGGCCCCGGCCAGCACGUAUGUCCACAAACGGCCGCAGUCGACAUUGGGCCUCACCAGCGCGGCACCGCAGCCAGUCCUUUUCGGUCAAAACCCCUACUACGCCAAGUACGGGCAACCCUCGUCGUCGUACACGUCGUACAACGGUAACCACCAGCAGCAGCAGCAGCAGCAGCCAGUCCGCGAAAUCAUCCACCACCCACCGAGUCAAAUGCCGCCGACGAUCCAGCAGCAAAUGUCGUCGUCGAGGGUCCAGCAAAUGCCGCCGAUGAACCAGCAGCAAAUGCCGCCGAUGACCCAGCAGCAGCAGCAUAUCACCACGAUGGCCCAGCAAAUGCCGCCGAUGCAGCAGCAGCACCAGCAGCCGCCUCCUUCGAUGCAGAUCACUCCGACGAUACCGCUACGGCCAAAACCGAUUAACAUCGCCCAACAACAACCCGCGCCGCCAAACCACCAAUGGGUUAUGCCGGGGCCCGAAGAGCGGCUGCCGUCUUACGGCCAGUAUCCAAAACAAAAGCCCAUGGAACAGACUUGGGUCGCCCACGACCACAACACUGGGCAAUCCUACCCUAUUACGACGCAGGUGUCGCCCAGUCUACCGGAUUGCGAGUCGCCUAACAUGCCGGAUAGGUUGGAUCAGCCGAGCACCAGUGGUAAUGGUGCGAAAAAAGGACUUGCCUGCCCUCCUCCUAAGAACCCAAAUCAAGCCGCAGCACAAGACAUGUUCGAUUACAGUCUGAGUAAUUUGAAAACAUAUUUUCUGGGCGAUCUGCAAAAAAUCAUCCAGACCUACCAGUAUUAUCACGCGUUGCGUUAAUAAUGUAUAUAUUUUGUAAAAUCCACAAUAAAAAUAGCAUCUCUGCUAAAAAAACCAUUCGUGAAAUUUGUAAAAAAAAUUUUAAAAAAAUUCUAUUAUAACGUUGUCAUACCUACCACCCCGAACGAACCAGCCCUGUGCGUUUAAAAAGGAAACGGUCUGUGGAAUACACGGAUAAAUGGGAAAAUACCAUGAAAAUUUCAUACAACUCCAGAAAGAAUUUGUUGAUUUUUUUUUAAAUUAAGACUGUUGAAACGAGUAUUAAAAAAAAGCUCUUAAUUACCAUUUAAAAAGACUGAUUCGUUCGAUGUUUCCUAAAAAAAAAAGUUUUUAUUUUUUUAUAUUAUAAUUAAUUAUUAUUUUCGAUUGAAAAAAAAAAUGUAAUUUGAGUUUUCUUCUCGUUGUAAAAAAUACAAUAUAUUUGUAAAAAAAAAAAAUGUGUGUUAUAUAUACCUACAUUUAUGAUUUACUUAUUUGUUUGGUUUUUUUUUUGUUCAUCGUCAUCGUAUUAUUAUUAUUUAUAUUAUUUUUAAAUAAUUUAACAUGUAUUAUCAAUUAUUAUAAUUGUCAUUAUUUCACCUAUUUGCCAUUAUUAUUAUUUCGAUUGCAAUCUGUUGUGUUUGUUUGUAAAAAAAAAAAACAGUUGUUAAUUCGAUUAUUUACUCUGAGUGUGCUCAAAAU